rnacentral:lncRNA from 1 species
ACCAUCAUCAUCAUCAUUGGUCAUCGCAUUUAUUAAGCACUUUCAACAUGCCAGGCAUUUUGUGUACGUUAGUUCCUUUCAUGCUCAUAAUAAAACUCACUGAGGUAAAAUAGUAUGAUUAUCCCAUUUUACAGAUGAAGAAACAGGUUUAGCAGGGUUAAGUUGCUUGCUCAAAGUCUCAAACUAGGAAGUGAGGGUUGACUCCUAGUAGUCUGACCUCAGAGUUCUUAGUCUUUAACUCAUGUCAUAUUUUGUGCAGGUGUCCUGAAUCAUCUGAAGUGGCAGCCCAGGGCUGUUCUGAACCAAGCUGAGAAAGUGGCACAAUGCUGUGUUGCAGGAAGUGAAAGAUGCCCCUUAGCCUCUGUGUCACUUGCUCAUGCUAGUGACACAGUCAGCAACUACAGAUACAGAGAAGACAGCCACACAGGCUUGGAAGCAGGCAUUGGCCUUUGGGACAAGGAACCCCAGUGGCCCUCACUCCCAGAGCAUGGCCUAAAAAGGUAUGUGUGUGUGUGUGUGUGUGUGUACAUGCAUGAGUAUAUACCUGCACACGUGCACAUGCAUGUGUGUACGUGUGUGUGCAUGUGUGCGUGCUGUGGUUGGGCACAUCACCAUGAGUAUGUUGGAGCAAGGAUUUUCUUUUCUCAAGC